rnacentral:rRNA from 1 species
AGUGAACGCUGGCGGUAGGCCUAACACAUGCAAGUCGAACGGCAGCACAGUAAGAGCUUGCUCUUACGGUUGGCGAGUGGCGGACGGGUGAGGAAUACAUCGGAAUCUACUUUUUCGUGGGGGAUAACGUAGGGAAACUUACGCUAAUACCGCAUACGACCUACGGGUUAAAGCAGGGGAUCUUCGGACCUUGCGCGAUUGAAUUAGCUGAUGUCGGAUUAGCUAGUUGGCGUGGUAAAGGCCCACCAAGGCGACGAUCCGUAGCUGGUCUGAGAGGAUGAUCAGCCACACUGGAACUGAGACACGGUCCAGACUCCUACGGGAGGCAGCAGUGGGGAAUAUUGGACAAUGGGCGCAAGCCUGAUCCAGCCAUGCCGCGUGGGUGAAGAAGGCCUUCGGGUUGUAAAGCCCUUUUGUUGGGAAAGAAAAGCAGCAGGUUAAUACCCCGCUGUUCUGACGGUACCCAAAGAAUAAGCACCGGCUAACUUCGUG